UUUUCCUUUUAAGGACUGUCCACUUUUUCUCUUUUCUUUUUACUUAUAAAAGGUGGGUCCUACCACUUCUUUGACUGGGUUACUAAAAAGGCCAAAUAUUACAGAAACUCUUUCUUCUUUCUUUUUUGCCGUAUUUCCUUAUUUCCUUUUCUCUCUUUCUAAAACGAGAACCACCAUUAGAGACAAGUGAAGCUCCGAAGGUAUGAAGAUAAAAUCUCCAUUACAGAGAUGAGAAGAUUCGGUUCGCAUCGCACUUGGUUCGGUCUUCUUCUCCAUUCUUUUACAAUUAGAACUUUGCCCUUUCAUUGACUUUCCCCAAUAUUUUUUCCGUUUUGCAAGGAAAAAUCUCCAUUAUUGAGGUGAGAAGCUUCGGUUUGUGUCACACUUGGUUCAUUCUUCUUCUCCACUCUUUUACGUUUAGAACUUUUGCCAUUUCAUUAACUUUUCCCAACUUCUUUUAGUUUCUAAAGGAAGAAUCUCUGUUACGGAAGUGCAAACUCCACUUCACACAACAAAAUAAAAGUGCGCUGCGAGAUGCUCCGAUUUGCGCAAAACAGAGGUGCUUUGUGGGACUUCACUCGGGUUCACGCAAAAUAGAGGUUUGCGGCACUUCGCUCCAGAUCGUGCAAAAUAGAGGUGCAUUUCGGCCCUACCGUAUUUUGCCUUCGCAAAAGUCUCAUUUCGUAAAUGAGUCACACUUUGCUCCUAAUCGAUCUUAUGUAGACUUUUGCCGAUCCUAUAAAUUGUUGUAUGUGAAUCAUGACACAUUGCUUUGGCACCACCAAUCCGAAUCCCAUCAAUCGACUAAAACUUAGUGGAGCGGGGCAUGGAUGGAGCGGUAUUAGAAGGUCAGCUUAUGCAAGUGAGCUCCUCUUAACAAUUAUGAGGAACCCCAACAAUGCCGGCCAACUGUUUGCACAAAGGUCUACGCGUGAAUUGGCUUAGCAAUUGUGAUUGUUUUCACAAAUUGUGGUUGUUUUCACAUACAAUCUUGCAAUGGAAGAAAGGAAAAAAAAAAAAAUUAACACCCUUGAACUCAGGUUGUAGUCGCACUGCUUUGUAUGUUUCUUUCUUUUUUUCCGUCUGUCAUAAGUGUUGCUGGAUGAUUGAAAAGCUUAGAUUGAGAUUGAGAUUGAAAUUUCAAUAUAGAAGAUAACAGUGCUACAACGAGCUGCAGAUAAGAUUUUUCUUUUCAAAGCUUGCAAAUUAGUGGUUAUGGUAGAUAAACUAAAAGAUUGUUGUUGCUAGAUAGUUUUUGAAAGAUUUCCGGAUAAUUCCCGUUCGAUAAUUUCUUUUGCUUGGACUGCAUCUAUUUUUUAUUAUCGUGACUAUAAGUUUAACUACCACAUUAUGAAGCAGAGAGAUGCGGAGGUUUAGCAAUCCACCUUCAUUGCGAAGUAGAAAGGUGUGAAGGUUAAGCAUGGUUGACCACGGUUAGGCAUUCCAGCACGACCAGUCAAGUGCUCUAAUUCUUCAGUCAUAAGAGGUUCUCUCUCUUAUGUGGAUGCUUUCAAAUUUUCUAGGCAAAUUUCUUGUAAUUGGUGAUGACUGAUGAUGGUGGUAGAUUUUUCAUAACUUAUAUUUUAACACAUACACGGCAGAUUAUUCCUAAUCCAUGUAGAUAGCUCUGCUUGUUCUCGGCAUAAAUGGCUAUGACCUCAUCUAUUUUUAUAACUAAACUUGUUUUCACUUUA